rnacentral:rRNA from 1 species
CCUACGGGAGGCAGCAGUGAGGAAUAUUGGUCAAUGGACGAGAGUCUGAACCAGCCAAGUAGCGUGAAGGAUGACUGCCCUAUGGGUUGUAAACUUCUUUUAUAUGGGAAUAAAAUGUUCCACGUGUGGGAUUUUGUAUGUACCAUAUGAAUAAGGAUCGGCUAACUCCGUGCCAGCAGCCGCGGUAAUACGGAGGAUCCGAUCGUUAUCCGGAUUGAUUGGGUUUAAAGGGAGCGUAGGUGGAUUGUUAAGUCAGUUGUGAAAGUUUGCGGCUCAACCGUAAAAUUGCAGUUGAAACUGGCAGUCUUGAGUACAGUAGAGGUGGGCGGAAUUCGUGGUGUAGCGGUGAAAUGCUUAGAUAUCACGAAGAACUCCGAUUGCGAAGGCAGCUCACUGGACUGCAACUGACACUGAGGCUCGAAAGUGUGGGUAUCAAACAGGAUUAGAUACCCCAGUAGUC